UGGGAGCUGCAGGAUUCGUUCUGUCUCCUGUGGAAGGAAAACACAGCUCUGCAUCUUCCUGUGCCAGCAAAGGAAUCAGUUCUGGAAUACAGCAAGUGUGACAAUGCCUUUCCUGAGUCAGGAAAGUCAUGGCAUGGAGUUGUUUUUCAUCUGAAGGCCCUCAGACCCUCUGAGCAGCUCCCUGGGGAUUCCGAGUGGACAGAAACAGCCUCUGCCACAGCUUUGUUAGCCAAGCACGGAAUUCAACUUGUUAUUUUCACUUGCCUGUGCUGGCUCACAAGUGACUCAGAAUUUGAUCAAUACUGCUGGUGGCUGUUGGUGCAGCAACUGAUGGGGAGCUGGAGGAGAAUUAUUCUGCUGAAAGCCUCGAGAAAAAUCAGUCAGAGAAGGCUGUGCCGCCAGAGCCCCAUCCCGUCACGCUCAGACAAAAUCCUCAGAAAUCCCACCUUAAAAACCACACUGGAAACACCAGGAGGAAAGUAUCAAGACAAGCAGUCCUUGGGAAUGUAUGGAAUUGACACAGAAGUCAUGGAGCAACUGAGCAGUGACAGGACUGGAAAGGAAAUGGAUUUUGCCAACAACUGGAAGUUCUCAGUGCCCUCGUGCCAUGGAAGUUCUGCAUCCUGUUCUGCCUGGAAGUGCCAGCCAUGAGGCAGCGCUGGGGUUUUUACUGGAA
rnacentral:lncRNA from 1 species